AGUAAACCCGUCUCGUGUGUGCAUUUUGCAAUUUUAUUACCACAAAUAUAUAUUUCUGCAUGAUUUCGAUAUAUUUUCUAGUCUGGCAACAUUUUAUAACGUCAUUAGUUUAGAGAAGGAUAAUAAUUUAAUAAUAAUAGUAAUUGGCCGUGUUUCAAUGCGAAGGCUGCAGCCUCCGGAGGUCGCAUUUCUCGGCUGCAUACGUCAUCAAAACUGUCUUGUUUCAGAAUAUUAACAAUUAUAAAGUUGACUGUUAUUCUAAGUUAAUAGUAAAUUGUUUAAUAUGCUUAUGACUUGCGAAUCUAAUGGUCAGUUAACUUAAAUAACCCAGGGUUGAUGACGUAUGGACCCUGCAUAUGCGAGUGCGACGACCUCCGCAGGCUGAAACCAGUCUCUCGAGCUGAAAGAAAACGCAGCUGAGGAGAUUUGAGGUAAGACUUAUCCGGCAACAUUACAUUUAUAACGUCUUUAAUUUAAUUAUAGCGUUAGCAUUGUGAACCAAAAUUAAUUUAAAAGUGUGUAUUUUUGUAUUUAUUGGCGCGAUAUUCGUUUAAAUCUCUCGUUUUUUUCUCUUUCUCGCUUACGUUGCUGCCUGAGGAAACGGACAUAAAGUUAAGCGGGCCGAUUCGAAAGAAAACACAGUAACACACAUUUUUCAUAAUUUCACGAUUUUUCUGAACUUCAUUGGAGGUCAAACUGCAGAAACUAUAACGUUAGAUUGUUAAUAGCCUAAUUUGAAGUGUUAUACCCGACUUUGGGGAGCAUAUUGUAUAAAUAUUUGUCUUAUCUGGCGCCAUUACAUUUAUAACGUCUUUUUUAUUUGAUUAAAGAGUACCUAACGUUAGCAUUGCUGAAUUCAAAAUAGUUUGAAAUUGUGUAUAUAUAUUAUACUAUUAUAAUAUUCUCGCACUGUAUUAAGAUAUUUCGAGAUCUUACUCGUUCUUUUAUUCACCUCUUUUUUUUCCUUUCAGACUGCAGACAAGAGCCAUCGACCAUCGUUCCAGGUACAUAAGUUACAUGAACUGGCAUGCAUGAUGAUUUUCAAAUGCAAGCAAUGUUGUUUAUUCUAUGAUUUAUAUAUAUAUUAAUAUAUCAAACAUGUUAAAGUGCACAGAAACCAUGCAACAGGAAGAAGCUGUUUUUCUCUUGGUUGAUGCAAGUUAUUUUUGUACAGUAUUGACACACUUUUUCUCUUAUGAAUAUUGUACUUGUGAUUUCUAAUCGUUUUUAUUUGUUUGUUUAUUUUGUGUUACAGGAAACUUCCACCUAAACAGAUGCUGAGGCCCAGAUUUCCCUGCCAAGCACUCCAAGGCUCAUCAUGCUCGGAGAGUCCAUUCUGGGGGCACAAAAUGGAUGCUUUCCAUUGAGGGCAGAGUUCUCCUCCAAUUGAGUGACCGUUGUGAUUUCACUUCUGCUCUAGCCAUGUAUGAUGCAGCCACUACAUUGGAAUUUAUCCAGAGGGUAGAGUCCAGCCCAGGAAGUCAACUAGUUCAGGUCCAGUUUUAAAAGAAUAAUAGUUCUGAAAAAAAAACGUCUUGGAGAAAAACAAUAUUCAGGUUUGAAAUCCUGCUGUAAAUGUAAAUCAUUUAAUUUUUAUGCAUUUGUAAUUUACAAGAAACAUUUUAAUAAAUAUUGAUUGUUUUGUGUGUUCAGAAAAGUG